rnacentral:lncRNA from 1 species
GCUAUCUUCACUCUAUCAAGCCAUUCUUGAGUCACAUCCUAUUAAGCAUCCAUUGAGAGAAUCAUUUCUUCAAUAUUGUGAACCUUGCUUGAAUGUCAUCUUGAUAUAACUGCUAAGAUCAAUCAAGCUCUAGUUUGAUUCUCAUAUAUUAAUAUAUGGACUAAUAGUAAUAUGGUCAAGCCAAUUCACGAUUCCUCAUAUCUUAUUCACUUUGGCUUGACCAAUCCUCUUAAUCACUUCAACCUCUAUUAUGAUCAUAUUUAUGCAUAGUGAUUUCUCAGGACUUGUCCAUAUAUUCAAACCAAUAUAGAGACCAUAUUAUAUCCAUUUGCAUUGUCUCACUGGUUAUUUGACCUUGUGUUGAACCUUGUUCACUGAUCAUUAUACACUAUUCAAGUAUGUUCAUCAUACUGAAUUUCCUGUUCAACACUUAGCAAACUUGUUAGACCUUUAAAUGUGUUGUUAUCCAAAUCACCAAAACUCACAAAAGGGAUGAAUGCACUUUCAACAACUCAUCGCACUUAAUCAAAGAUCCAAAUCAGACAAGUAUCAUAAGAACAAACACUCAAGCAUAUAGAUCCUAUAAAUAAUAGUUUUGUUUUUGUUCCUAUGAGUAGGUCUCUUAUUUCUAAAGGUCACUUUAUGUAUAGGAUUACAAAAGUGUGAAAUCCGCAUUUGUUUUUAGAAGGAAAAGGUAAGAAUAAUCAGAGUAAAGCGAAAAUAGAUGAGAAAAGAUUAAGAUGUGUUUAUACAAGAUUCAGAUUAAGGUAAGUAGGUAAUAGUUUUGUCCAUUUUUAUCUAGGUUUCAUCCUACAGUCAAUAUUUCUUCUGAUACCACUUCUGUCACACCUGGAUUUAAGGGACGAAGCCGGGUGCAUCUCAUAUAUGUGCCAAAGAAGACAACACAUACAAUAACAGAGUGUAUAGAGAUAAAUGUCACAAUAUAAUCAGAGUACUUAUUACAUAGCGGAAGUCUUACAAAAUAAUAAUAUAAAACGAACAAAUGUCCAUCCUUGGCGCCAUAAAGUCAACUGGGAAACGACACCUAGAUCAAGUGGAACUCCUCAUUGUGUGGCUCCUCUUGAACCACAUGUUCUUCUCCUGUGGGGGGCUGUGAGACAGCAAGGGUGAGCUCACACAUGUUCAUCGCUCAACAAGUUGUGGGUAAUAAUGUGCAUGAACUCACCAAAGGUGGGAGUUCAUGUGAAGUGUAAGGCUGAUCAACAAAAUAAAGGUUGAAGUUGAGCAAUGCUAUUAUAAGUUGGUCAAAAUUUUAUUAGCAGUUACUAAGUGUAAGUAAAUACCAAACCUUAGUAAUAAUAAAUAGAAGUAAUAAUAAAGUAAUCCCAAUGCGAUACAAAUGACAAAUUGAAUUAAAUUCCAUAAAUUAAUCAUGUGAGUGUCCGAGUCACUCAUGACCGUGAGCAUGGCUAGUAUACCAGUUUUACACUCUUCAGAGGUUGUACCCUGUACCCACAAGUCGUGUAUCUCAUGUCGCCAGGGUUUGCAAGGCCCUUAGACACUACCGAGGUGAAUGGCUAGGGAUCCACUACGAGGCCUUUACAAAGUUCCACUAGCUUCCGAAAACCCGCUAGAGUUUAUGGGAAGAGCACUUGCAAGAAUCCCUUGUCUGACCACCAUCGCAGCAAAAUCAACACGAGAACCUCCCUGCAUGAAACUCCCCUACUGCCCUUGCCCCUUUCGGGUAAGGUAGUCUUCCACUACCUUUCCUAAUUAGUCAGCCAAGGGCGUCCCAUACCACCCUUGUGGUGGCACUGUUUUCCCUGGUGGUUCUCCAUGUUCCCAUUAACAUAAUGAUCUUAUCAUGAACAAUAAAUAAUAAACUGAUAACAAAAGUGUGAACAUGAGUAAUGUAUAUCUCUAUACCUAAAACCACAUAAAGCAAUAGCAUAUACUAUCCAAAAAAUUCAGUGGUAAAACAAGGUAUAAAGAUAGCCAAAACUAGGGUAACCAAUUGGAUCCCAUCAAAUUAACUUAUGCAUAUCAUUAUGAUUAAUAAGAACAUGACUGGGUAAAAAAGAAGUGAUCAAGAGCACAACUUGCCUUCAAUGAGCUCCUGCUCAGCAGUCUCCACCUACUGAAGCACUCGAUCAUGUGUGGCUUGCUCGUCUACUCGCAUCAAUACAAACAUACAUAGUAUAGCAAAAAUUAACAACACACCAAAUAAUAGAACAAAAUACAUGAUAAUAUUCUAUGCUGUGUAACCUGUUCAUAGGAACAAGAACCACUAAAUUUGGAUCUACGGUUAUUAAGUUGAGAAUUUCCGAAGUUAUUAUGUACUUGGAAUAGCAUAACUCAUGUGAAUAAUUUUAGUUCAAGUUUCAUGGCUAAACAAAUUUGCCUAGUGAUAAACAUUAUUAAAACAAAAUUAAUAUCUCUGGAAUGACUCAAUUUGGAGUUAAAAUGAAUUAAUUAUGAAUUAUACAAGUUUUUGGGAUUAUGUUUGUAUUAAAAAUCAAUUUCCUAUAUUAUUUCUCUGGUUUUCACCCUCUCUGGAUUGCGCGCACAAUUAUUAAAGAGCACAAGGGCCCUGGCAUAAAAUGUACUAAGACUCAGUCAACAACAUGAUGGACCGCGGGUUAGUUACUGGAAAGCCCAGGGUUUCUUUUAGAAAGUGCACGCAUCGAAGGGGUAUGGAUCUGUUCUGACCGUUGGAUCUAGGGUCAGCACUCCAGAUUAGAUCUGGUAUUUAAUGAAUCGGUACGCAACCGAGAGCCCUCCGAUGCAGGUUUAACGUUCCCGAUUUAACAAUCCCCAGAUCGAAUGCCACCUGCACGAUCACCAUUGAAUGGCAGAGAUCUAAUCUACUUCAAUCCGGAACACCAGAUCAAAUCAGUGCCAUUGCCUAGCUGUCCGACGGCCAGGAUCUUUUCCCACUUCCUUACCCUCUCACUGCGUCAGCCAGUCGCCGGAGCAGUCACCAGCCACGGCGGCGCCAUCGCCGGGCCGCGCCAAAAUCUCAAAUCCCGCCCAAAAACCUCACUCCGACAACCGCAGAAAGAAGAGUAGAAGAUUGCAAGACUAGUAAAGGUGGUCUCACCAAGGCUAGCAGCGAGGACAGUCUUGGCCACGCGGACCCGCGGUCCACGGCAGGGUAGUUCCUGGUGGCGAGGAAUUCCCACAACGUUGAACACGAAUCCCCGGAAGAGCUGCUUCAACCUUCCUCCUCCAAGCCCGGAGAAUCCCCAGGACACAACUCCAAGGAGCGAUAGGUGGUGAGUCGAGUUUCCCUCGUCCCCGCGGUGGCACUCACUUUUCUCUCCCUUCCCUGUGCGCUAGCUCGGCGUUGGAAAUCUCUCGACGCGAGCAAGGGACGCGCACGAUGGUCGAUCCAAGCGGAGGGCUUGGUGCUUAUUCGCCCACCAGGACCCCAAUGAGGUGAGAGCGGAAUUCCCUGGUGGUCUGUUAUGCAGGCGCUAAUCCAUAAUAGAUUGAGGCGAGUGUGGGAGGAUGAACUUCUAGGCCCCGGUGUGGUUUGUGGCGAGGCCGCAUGGUUCGGCACUUUAUCCCCCGGAAUUAGGUGUCAACAGCCCGCCCGAAUUUCAUGGCUCCCCCGGUGAACCUCGCCCGGAUUCCCGCGGUGGGAUCCAGCUUUUGUGGUGAG